UACGUAGGGUGCAAGCGUUGUCCGGAAUUAUUGGGCGUAAAGAGCUCGUAGGCGGUUUGUCGCGUCUGGUGUGAAAAUCCAGGGCUUAACCCUGGACCUGCAUCGGGUACGGGCAGACUAGAGUGCGGUAGGGGAGACUGGAAUUCCUGGUGUAGCGGUGAAAUGCGCAGAUAUCAGGAGGAACACCGGUGGCGAAGGCGGGUCUCUGGGCCGUAACUGACGCUGAGGAGCGAAAGCGUGGGGAGCGAACAGG
rnacentral:rRNA from 1 species